GGUCGUGGCUCAGAGGAAAAGUGAUCGCCUACCAUGCGAGAGGCCCUGGGUUCGAUCCUAAGCACCA
rnacentral:tRNA from 1 species